AGUGAACGCUGGCGGCAGGCCUAAUACAUGCAAGUCGAACGGCAGCACAGCAGAGCUUGCUCUGUGGGUGGCGAGUGGCGGACGGGUGAGGAAUACAUGGGAAUCUGCCCAGUCGUGGGGGAUAACGUAGGGAAACUUACGCUAAUACCGCAUGCGCCCUUCGGGGGAAAGCCGGGGACCUUCGGGCCUGGCGCGAUUGGAUGAGCCCAUGUCGGAUUAGCUAGUUGGUGGGGUAACGGCCCACCAAGGCGACGAUCCGUAGCUGGUCUGAGAGGACGACCAGCCACACUGGAACUGAGACACGGUCCAGACACCUACGGGUGGCAGCAGUCGAGAAUUUUUCACAAUGGGCGCAAGCCUGAUGGAGCGACGCCGCGUGGGGGAUGAAUGGCUUCGGCCCGUAAACCCCUGUCAUUUGCGAUCAAACGUUAUUAUUUAAAAGAUGAUGACCUGAUAGUAGCGAAAGAGGAAGGGACGGCUAACUCUGUGCCAGCAGCCGC
rnacentral:rRNA from 1 species